rnacentral:rRNA from 1 species
UACGUAGGGUGCGAGCGUUAAUCGGAAUUACUGGGCGUAAAGCGUGCGCAGGCGGUGAUGUAAGACAGGUGUGAAAUCCCCGGGCUUAACCUGGGAACUGCAUUUGUGACUGCAUCGCUGGAGUGCGGCAGAAGGGGAUGGAAUUCCGCGUGUAGCAGUGAAAUGCGUAGAUAUGCGGAGGAACACCGAUGGCGAAGGCAAUCCCCUGGGCCUGCACUGACGCUCAUGCACGAAAGCGUGGGGAGCAAACAGG